rnacentral:rRNA from 1 species
CGUACACUCCUACGGGAGGCAGCAGUGGGGAAUAUUGGACAAUGGGCGCAAGCCUGAUCCAGCCAUGCCGCGUGAGUGAUGAAGGCCCUAGGGUUGUAAAGCUCUUUCACCGGGGAAGAUAAUGACGGUAACCGGAGAAGAAGCCCCGGCUAACUUCGUGCCAGCAGCCGCGGUAAUACGAAGGGGGCUAGCGUUGUUCGGAUUUACUGGGCGUAAAGCGCACGUAGGCGGACUAUUAAGUCAGGGGUGAAAUCCCGGGGCUCAACCCCGGAACUGCCUUUGAUACUGGUAGUCUUGAGUUCGAGAGAGGUGAGUGGAAUUCCGAGUGUAGAGGUGAAAUUCGUAGAUAUUCGGAGGAACACCAGUGGCGAAGGCGGCUCACUGGCUCGAUACUGACGCUGAGGUGCGAAAGCGUGGGGAGCAAACAGGAUUAGAUACCCCAGUAGUCC